AUUGAACGCUGGCGGCAGGCCUAACACAUGCAAGUCGAACGAGUGGCGGACGGGCGAGUAAUGUCUGGGAAACUGCCUGAUGGAGGGGGAUAACUACUGGAAACGGUAGCUAAUACCGCAUACCAUCGGAUGAGCUCAGAUGGGAUUAUCUAGUCGUUGGGGUAAAGGCGCACCUAGGCGACGAUCCCUAGCUGGUCUGAGAGGUUGACCAGCCACACUGGAACGGAGACACGGUCCAGACUCCUACGGGAGGCAGCAGUGGGGAAGAUUGCGCAAUGGGCGAAAGCCUGAUGCAGCCAUGCCGCGUGUAUGAAGAAGGCCUUCGGGUUGUAAAGUACUUUCAGCGGGGAGGCGUUACCCGCAGAGGAAGCACCGGCUAACUCCGUGCCAGCAGCCGCGGUAAUUC
rnacentral:rRNA from 1 species